UACAGAGGGGGCAAGCGUUGUUCGGAAUUACUGGGCGUAAAGGGCGCGUAGGCGGCCUGCUAAGUCGAACGUGAAAUCCCCGAGCUCAACUCGGGAACUGCGUCCGAUACUGGCAGGCUUGAAUCCGGGAGAGGGAUGCGGAAUUCCAGGUGUAGCGGUGAAAUGCGUAGAUAUCUGGAGGAACACCGGUGGCGAAGGCGGUAUCCUGGACCGGCAUUGACGCUGAGGCGCGAAAGCCAGGGGAGCAAACGGG
rnacentral:rRNA from 1 species